GAAUUUUGUUGCUCUUAUCCCUGGGAUUCCUGAGGUCCUUCUGGAAUAGGAUGAGACCAGAAAUAGAAAGGCAUGACAUUUGAUGCUUCAAAGUGUUUCCAAGAGCUCAACUACUCGGAGACUAGUAGCUGCACAGUGUCGGCUAGGGGAUCUUCCCGACCCAGGGAUCGAACCCACGUCUCUUGCAUCUCUUGCACUGGCAGGCGGAUUCUUUACCACUGCACCACCUGGGAAUCCCUGAGCACACGUUCUAAAGCACACCAGCUUCAGGAGUCACGGCACUCAGGCUCAAGAGCGUGCGCUCAGUCCCGGUGAUGCACGGGCUUAGCUGCCCCUCGACAUGUGCAAUCUUCUGCAGCAGCGAUCACUGGUGUCCCCUCUACACUGGCAGGCAGAAUGUCUCAGUCACUGGACCAGCAGGGAAUUCCUGAUCAGAUCAGAUCAGAUCAGAUCAGUCGCUCAGUCGUGUCCGACUCUUUGCGACCCCAUGAAUCGCAGCACACCAGGCCUCCCUGUCCAUCACCAACUCCCGGAGUUCACCCA
ensembl:lncRNA